GAUGAACGCUGGCGGUAUGCUUAACACAUGCAAGUCGAACGGACUCUUCGGAGUUAGUGGCGGACGGGUGAGUAACGCGUGAGAAUCUGGCUUUGGGUUCGGGACAACCACUGGAAACGGUGGCUAAUACCGGAUGUGCCGAGAGGUAAAAGAGAAAUUGCCUGAAGAUGAGCUCGCGUCUGAUUAGCUAGUUGGUGAGGUAAAGGCUCACCAAGGCAGCGAUCAGUAGCUGGUCUGAGAGGAUGACCAGCCACACUGGGACUGAGACACGGCCCAGACUCCUACGGGAGGCAGCAGUGGGGAAUUUUCCGCAAUGGCGAAAGCCUGACGGAGCAAUACCGCGUGAGGGAAGAAGGCUCUUGGGUUGUAAACCUCUUUUCUUAGGGAAGAACAAAAUGACGGUACCUAAGGAAUCAGCAUCGGCUAACUCCGUG
rnacentral:rRNA from 1 species